rnacentral:rRNA from 1 species
UACGUAGGGGGCAAGCGUUGUCCGGAAUUAUUGGGCGUAAAGAGCGUGUAGGCGGCCAGGUAGGUCUGGUGUGAAAACUCGAGGCUUAACCUUGAGAUGUCAUCGGAAACCAUUUGGCUAGAGUCCGGAAGAGGAAAGUGGAAUUCCUGGUGUAGCGGUGAAAUGCGCAGAUAUCAGGAAGAACACCAAUGGCGAAAGCAGCUUUCUGGGACGGUACUGACGCUGAGACGCGAAAGCGUGGGGAGCGAACAGG